CGUACACUCCUGCGGGAGGCAGCAGUGGGGAAUAUUGGACAAUGGGCGCAAGCCUGAUCCAGCCAUGCCGCGUGAGUGAUGAAGGCCCUAGGGUUGUAAAGCUCUUUCACCGGUGAAGAUAAUGACGGUAACCGGAGAAGAAGCCCCGGCUAACUUCGUGCCAGCAGCCGCGGUAAUACGAAGGGGGCUAGCGUUGUUCGGAUUUACUGGGCGUAAAGCGCACGUAGGCGGACUAUUAAGUCAGGGGUGAAAUCCCGGGGCUCAACCCCGGAACUGCCUUUGAUACUGGUAGUCUUGAGUUCGAGAGAGGUGAGUGGAAUUCCGAGUGUAGAGGUGAAAUUCGUAGAUAUUCGGAGGAACACCAGUGGCGAAGGCGGCUCACUGGCUCGAUACUGACGCUGAGGUGCGAAAGCGUGGGGAGCAAACAGGAUUAGAUACCCUUGUAGUCC
rnacentral:rRNA from 1 species